GAGUGGCUUGCAUGAUGAGUCAAUUAGAUGUGUGAAGAAUGUUCUCUCAUGGACAAAAUUCUGAGGCUUAUUGAUAUUCUGACUUGCCACAU